UACGUAGGGUGCAGGCGUUAAUCGGAAUUACUGGGCGUAAAGCGUGCGCAGGCGGCUUCCUAAGUCAGAUGUGAAAUCCCCGGGCUCAACCUGGGAACUGCGUUUGAAACUGGGAGGCUGGAGUGCGGCAGAGGGGGGUGGAAUUCCGCGUGUAGCAGUGAAAUGCGUAGAUAUCGGGAGGAACACCAGUGGCGAAGGCGGCCUUCUGGACCAGUACUGACGCUCAUGCACGAAAGCGUGGGGAGCAAACAGG
rnacentral:rRNA from 1 species